UGACAAGUAUCACGUGACUUAUCGGGUAGUUCGAGUAGCGUUGGAGUGGGAACGUGACCUCGACAAUGACCGUGUUCUUUUUGUAGUUCUUGAAAACUUGCCAUGGAUAUAGAAGACAGCUAUCGGACAUUGAUUUAUUGUAAAAUUUGUAAUUUUCUGACUAUCGUCUCCUUUUCCGAAAUCGUUCAUUUCCGGUUGAAUUCUUCCUCAACAGAGGGCGCUACCGAAAGAAAGCCAACUCACAAAGCGACAUUGAUAUUGUCGUCUUAUCAAUUUCCAGUUUUUUGAUAAAUAAUUUGGUGCAUGUCUUUUUUUUAGUAAAUAAAUAACUCGAGACGGCCACAGGAAUUUAUUUGGAAUGCAUAAGUGAACAUUUUUAAAGAUAUUGGACUUGUUUAUAAAUCAUAUAUUGAUUCAUGUUAAGCCUAAUCAAAAUGCCUGGCGACGAAAUGAGAGUGAAGGAGAGACGACAUUACACGGAAGAUUGUCUUCAAGAUGAAGAAAUUGAAGGCAGGCGUAUGUUUUCAGUUGAAGACAAACUUUCAAGUGAUUUGUUUGGAUCAUAUUUUGUCAAGGAAAUGAAAGGCGAAGGUAAUAAUAAUUAAUUUUUUUAAUUAUUGAAACAUACAUAAUUCUUUUAAUUA